rnacentral:rRNA from 1 species
GAUGAACGCUGGCGGCGUGCCUAAUACAUGCAAGUCGAGCGAACAGACGAGUAUCUUUUUCUUCUGACGUUAGCGUCUUAUGAGUGAGUAACACGUGGAUGACUUACCUGUGAGUCAGGGGUCACUUCGGGAAAGCUGAGCUAAUACCGGAUCAUAUAUUGAAGCGUAUGCUCAAAUAGUGAAAGACGGCUUUGCUGUCACCUAUAGAUGGAUCAGCGCCGCAUUAGCUAGUUGGUAAAGUAGCUGCUUACCAAGGCAACGAUGGCUACGCGACCUGACAGGGAGAUCGGCCACACUGGAGCUGAGACACGGUCGAGACACCUGCGGGAGGCAGCAGUAGAGAAUCCUCCGGGAUGGGCGAAUGCCUGACAGAGCAAAACCGCGUGAGUGAUGAUGGUCUUAGGAUCGUAGAACUAUGUUAUUAGGGAAGAACAAAUGUGUAAGUAACAAUGCACGUCUUGACGGUACCUAAUCAGAAAGCCACGGCUAACUACGUG